AUAGUCAAUUGUGCAAUUCAAACCUUGAUAUUCAUUAACACGGAUGUUAAUAUAUAUAUAUAUUUUACUUUUUAUAAACAUCUAUUUCUGAGUUGGUUGCUUCCCAUUGGUUCAAUUUAAAAUACCUAACCCAAACCUAUAUGUAGCAGCAAAAAUCUCACAGGAAUCACGUGCUAAAGCCACAAGAAGAGCCACACAGAAGUCAGAAACCAAACACAAAGCCAUAUGAACCAACCAAGCCAUAGGUACUGCAACAAUGGCAGUGUAUAUUUGCGAUUUGAAUCGGUGGCUGCAGCAGUUAAUUGUCAACGUGCAAUGCACAUGCGAUGGUUCGCAGGAAGAUCAAUAUCUGCCACGUUUAUGAAAUCCCAAGAUUAUGAUGCCAAAUUCAGGAGUUCACUGUAAGCAUAAGAUUGGACCUGACUAUUUUCUGUUCAUGUUUUUAAUCGAACUUAGCGGUUACUGGUUGCCAUACCCACCAGUUGACUUGGGAGUGAGUUAUAUUUCUAGUAUACAACAACGUUAUUUAGAUCAAGAUUUCUAUAGUUUUUUGGUAGAACAUCUUUAUUGAACAUGUAUGAUUAUUAUUUGGGUGAAAUUAA